AAAACAAAGAAGAAGUCCGCUUCUCACCUUACGCCAGAGGUUAGUAAGGUAAAUAUAAGUUAAAGCUUAAUUUUAAUUUAAGUUUGUUUAAAUUUGGUAACUUAUAUUGCGGAUGAUUACGUCAUCCGCUUUUUAUUUUAUAA
rnacentral:sRNA from 2 species